GGCUCAGGACGAACGCUGGCGGCGUGCUUAACACAUGCAAGUCGAACGAUGAUCCGGUGCUUGCACCGGGGAUUAGUGGCGAACGGGUGAGUAACACGUGAGUAACCUGCCCUUGACUCUGGGAUAAGCCUGGGAAACCGGGUCUAAUACCGGAUACGACCCGUCACCGCAUGGUGGUGGGUGGAAAGAUUUUUUGGUUUUGGAUGGACUCGCGGCCUAUCAGCUUGUUGGUGAGGUAAUGGCUCACCAAGGCGACGACGGGUAGCCGGCCUGAGAGGGUGACCGGCCACACUGGGACUGAGACACGGCCCAGACUCCUACGGGAGGCAGCAGUGGGGAAUAUUGCACAAUGGGCGAAAGCCUGAUGCAGCGACGCCGCGUGAGGGAUGACGGCCUUCGGGUUG
rnacentral:rRNA from 1 species